CAGGUGAGGCCGCCCGGGGUGUUCGUCGCGCCAGGCUUCAUUUCUUGACCAGAGUUCCAGUCCGGCGCCUCCUGCUGGACACGACGGGAUGGGUGGAGAUGCGGGGCGGGCUCAGUCCUCCGGCUUCUAGGUACGGUUCCAAAACCACUGAGGGUUUUCUGCCUUUCCACCCCGAGUUCAGUUGGGAAACAGCUCCUUAUCUCCCCUGCUGAAGCCAAACAGUAGGUCGAAUGCCCCGGGUGGGUGAGGUCUUUGGCUGCUGGAAACUCAGAACAAAAAGCGAAGGCUAAAAGGAGUUGGUCCCCCAAAAUAGCCCAAAGUCAUGGUGAGGGUCGGGCAAUGACCCUUGAAGGAUUCUGGCAAGUUUCUGCUGGUUCACACCACUCCCCUUAUCUUUUGGUUGGGCAACAGUUAAAUUCAUAAAUGGGCAAAGAAGUAGCAGGACCUUCGUGGAUCCACUGAACCUUGUUACUAAGGGAAAGUGCAGCAUGCUGUGUGUGUGAAAAGGAUUUUUUUGUUUGUUUUUUAAUUUAAGAACCUAACUCAUUUUUCAAAAGAGUGAUCGAUACUCGCCCAAAGUAAACUUGAACUGCCUGGGCAUAGAGUUCCCACAGAGGUACUUGUUCUUUCAGUACGCAGAUAAAGCGAUGCAGAAGUCAACAAGCAAAAAGGGAGUUCCAGAAACAGGAAACACUGAAAAUAGAGGGAAGGAAAUUAUAAAAAGUAAUUCAAGACAAUUUCUCAGAACUAAAAGACGUGAGUGUCUAGUGCAGUGAUCUAAAAUAGACCCACAACACAGCAUAUAAUCAUGGCAUUUCACAACUAAGGACAAAGGAAAUCCUACAAUCUUUCACAGGGGCAGAAAAACAUGUUUCAUAACAGAAUCAAGAAUCAGAAUGGCACCAAACUUCUCUAAAGAUAACAUUAAAAUCUGUAAGACAAUGCAAUGAUGAUCUCAAAAUUAUGAAGGAAAAUGAUUUGCAAUUUCAAUUCCAUGCCCAUCCCAAAGUGUGAGGACAGAAUGAAGAUCUCCAGAAGUUUAUUUACUUUGCAUCCUUUCUCAGAAUGCAGGCAAGAAAGAGGAAGGGCUGGGAUCCAAGAAAUGGAGGGACAAGGGGAAUCCUCAGGAUGGGGUAAAGGAAAACGUCAAGGUGACAGUGUCUAAAGAAUAGUAUGUCCUGGAUGGAGCAGAUCAGAAGGUUCCAGGAAGCAUUUCUUCUGGAAGUUGAAUUUGAUAGAAUACUAAUUUGAAUAUCUUAAGAGAAAAUUUGUACAUGUUGGGAAAAUUUGGGUGAUAUUAGCAAUGAGUUCAAAGAAAAGCAAAUCUAACAGAAAAGGAGAACAUUAUUAACUUCAGAAAAAAAAUUAUGUAAGACAUUAAAAUUAAGAAGUUUUCUCCUCAAAAGUCACCUGAAAGCAAGUGAAAAGACAAAUUAGAAUCUUGGAGAUAUUCACAAUAUACAUAAAUGACAAAGAAAUGCCAAGAAUAUAUUUAAAACUUCUAAAAAUCAUUAGAAUCAUUAGAUGAGAAAAAACAACCCAAUUUAAAAACAUCAAGAGAAAUGAGGUAUUUUACAGAAGAGGAAAUUGCAAAUGACUGAUAAACAUAAGAAGAGAUAUUAACAUGACUGGUGAUCAGGAAAAUGCAAAUCAAGACCACGUGAUAAAAAUUUUAAAGACUAAUAAUGCCGAAUGUUAGGUAAGAUGUAAACUCACCAAAAUCUUUUAUGUGUUGCUGGUAGAAUUUUUAAAAAAUAGAAAUUUUUGACAUUACCUUUCAAAAUUGAAGAUAAAUAUACCUUAUGACCCAGCAAUUUCUCUUCUAGAUAGAAAGAGAAAGUUCUCAUUAUAUACAAUGAAACAUGUACAAGAAAGUUCAUCACAGCAUUGUCCAACCCAAAAGCACUAGUGGGAGAGUGGAUGAAUAAACUGUGAUAAUUUACAGCCGUCAAAACAAAUGAAUGUAUGGAUGACUCUUAGUGAUUUUAUUUGCGUUGAACAGUGGUCUCUCCAAAAUUCUUGUCCACCUGGACCCUCAGAAUGUGAACUUGUUUGGAAAUAGACUCUUUACAGAUGUAAUUAAGGUAAGGAUCAAGGUGAAAUCAUGCUGGAUUAGGAUGGACCCUAAAUCCAGUGAGAGUGUCCUUAUAAGAGACAGAAAAGACAGGUACAGAGGAGAUGAUGAUGUGAAGACAGAGGCAGAGAAUGAAGCCAUGCAUCUACAAGCUAAGGAAAGCCAGGAGCCACCAGAAGCUGGAAAAGGCAAGGAAGAAUUCUCACUCAGAGCCUCUAGAGGGAGCGUCACCUGGCCAGCAUCUUAAUCCUGGACUUCUGGCUUCUAAAACUGUGAAAAUGUAUUUCUGUUAUUUUAAAUCACCAAGUGUGUAGUAAUUUGUUAUGCAGCGCUAGAAGUCAUACACCAACUUUAAAAGUGAAACGAUCAUUCUAGUUUAUCUAUGAGGGUUGCUCCAAAAAGUAAUUUUUUCAAGGAAGGAAUAUUUGUUUUGUAUUACAAUCAACACAGGGAAAAUGAAGCUCAGUUUUUAAACAAAGUUGGAGCAGGAUUGUUUCAGGUCUUCAGAACUGUGUGUUACGUAAGUAAGUACAUACAUAUUUUUAAAUCUUGUCAUAUUUACUAGAUACUUGUUAUCUACUAGGUCUGUGUUAAAUACAAAAUAUGUGUACUUUUUGCAUUGACAUGUCCACAAAACCCUAAUUCAGGAUUUUAGGUGUAGCCAAUUAAACUAGCUACAGUCAUCUCUGACCAAAGUAAAUGAAUGUAAAACAUUUUGCCAAUGAUCUGUUGACCAUAAGCAAUGAGUUGACAGGCCUCAGAACAGUUUUUGGUUACAUGUUUUGAAUGACCACAUUCUGAGUUACAGGGCUGACAGACCUCAUGGCCAUAAAAAUUCGUAACACUCCCACCCAAGUAAAUAUUGCAUUUAUAUCUAGCUUAUUCAUUUCUGCCUCCACAUCGAGUAACUAGGGAAACAGUGAUGUCACUGCUUAGCAUGGUAUUUACAAACUUCUCUACUUAACUUCAUGGCUUAGGAAGCCUACAGUUAUUUACUAGUCUCACUUAAACUUCUGUAAGAAAGUCAUACACCUUUUAUUUUUUCUGAGCUGCUGAUGGGGAAAUGGGAUCAUUCUGUUUUAAUGUGUUAUUUUGAGAAAAUAUGUAUUCUAAAGUGUACUGUUACUGUUUUUGAAAAAUCAUCUGUGCAUUUGCCGCAAAAGGGUUUUGAUGUGCAUUGACAAUAGAUAAAAUCAUGUGACUCAAAUUAAAUAUUAUCCCUUGGGCCAGCCUCCUUUAAACAGUCAGCCUUCAGGUGGCCUGGACUGCCUCCGUUCCACUGUGCCACAUUGCUUUUGACCUGAGAAGCUAGCUCUCUUUCUUGUUCUUCUUCCUUAUAAUCUUAUUUCGAACUCCAUCAUGUUGGUAACAAAUAGUUUUAAGAAAUAAGCAGUACCUGGGCAUAACAGUAAAAAGCCACCUGCCUCCAAAAUGGAAAAGAAAUUAGUUAGCAAUCUUUCCAGUGAAAUAAACAAAACGGGCACUCAAUACUGCUCACCAGUCUCUUGCCUAAUAUGUUUGCAUUCUCAAUUUCAAAAAUUAUUUCACUCCAUCUCUUCUUUUCUCAAACUUGCCACACUCCCUCUGCUCUCUCUCAGCUUUUUUCCUAACAAUAUAAUUCAUUGAGAUAAUAGAAGCAACUACAUGUGACUUUCAUUAUUUCCCACCACCAAAACCACCAAACCCACAUCCACACAGCAGUAACAUCUAUUCCUGAAUUGUAAUGGCUAUUUCUAAAUUCUGAGAUGCUGAGUUCCUUGCAUAUUACCUGGUCAAUCCCUAGAACUUUGGGUAUCUGUGUGACACCUGAGACUCAGAGCCAGAGUGUGGCAGCUAUGAAUGUCAGCACUACCCCAUACAGCAAAUGUUAAACAAUCUGAAAAAAGAAAUUAAGCUUCAGUUAGAUAUAUGAAUGCAUAUGACUUGAUUAGGAUUAAGGUAACUCAAGCUAAAGAGUAAAGGAUGAUAUUAGCAGUGGUUUAAAACUUCAACUUCUAUGUGACACCAAAGGAAGAAAUGUUUAUUGGGAGCACAAUCUAUAUUUUUUGUAA